ACUUCCCAAUCUACCCUACAGGCAGGAAAACAGGCAGCCCUGGGAGGCUGGACCGAGGGAGGCUGGGCCUCCCACUCUGCCCUACAGGCCGGGACACAGGCAGCCCUGGGAGGCUGGAGCAAGGGAGGCUGGGCCUCCCACUCCGCCCUACAGGCCGGGACACGGGCAGCCCUGGGAGGCUAGACCGAGGGAGGCUGGGCCUCCCACUCUGCCCUACAGGCAGGAAAACGGGCAGCCCUGGGAGGCUGGACCGAGGGAGGCUGGACUUCCCACUCUACCCUACAGGCAGGAAAACGGGCAGCCCUGGGAGGCUGGAGCGAGGGAGGCUGGGCCUCCCACUCCGCCCUACAGGCCGGGACACGGGCAGCCCUGGGAGGCUGGAGCGAGGGAGGCUGGGCCUCCCACUCCGCCCUACAGGCCGGGACACGGGCAGCCCUGGGAGGCUGGAGCGAGGGAGGCUGGGCCUCCCACUCCGCCCUACAGGCCGGGACACGGGCAGCCCUGGGAGGCUGGACCGAGGGAGGCUGGGCCUCCCACUCCGCCCUACAGGCCGGGACACGGGCAGCCCUGGGAGGCUGGACCGAGGGAGGCUGGGCCUCCCACUCCGCCCUACAGGCCGGGACACGGGCAGCCCUGGGAGGCUGGACCGAGGGAGGCUGGGCCUCCCACUCCGCCCUACAGGCCGGGACACGGGCAGCCCUGGGAGGCUGGACCGAGGGAGGCUGGGCCUCCCACUCCGCCCUACAGGCCGGGACACGGGCAGCCCUGGGAGGCUGGACCGAGGGAGGCUGGGCCUCCCACUCCGCCCUACAGGCCGGGACACGGGCAGCCCUGGGAGGCUGGACCGAGGGAGGCUGGGCCUCCCACUCCGCCCUACAGGCCGGGACACGGGCAGCCCUGGGAGGCUGGACCGAGGGAGGCUGGGCCUCCCACUCCGCCCUACAGGCCGGGACACGGGCAGCCCUGGGAGGCUGGACCGAGGGAGGCUGGGCCUCCCACUCCGCCCUACAGGCCGGGACACGGGCAGCCCUGGGAGGCUAGACCGAGGGAGGCUGGGCCUCCCCCUCUGCCCUACAGGCAGGAAAACGGGCAGCCCUGGUGUAGAGGGCAGCCCUACAGGGUUUGUGGGUUUUUCUCCCCGUGUGCGGAGAUGAGAGAUCGUAGAAAUAAAGAUACAACACAAAGAAAUAAAAAAGACAGCUGGGCCCGGGGGACCACUACCACCAAGAUGUGGAGACCGGUAGUGGCCCCGAAUGCCAGGCUGCGCUGUUAUUUAUUGGAUACAAGACAAAGGGGCAGGAUAAGGAGCGUGAGCCAUCUCCAGUG
rnacentral:lncRNA from 1 species